UACGUAGGGACCAAGCGUUGUCCGGAAUCAUUGGGCGUAAAGGGUGCGUGGGUGGCGUGGUAAGUCAGAUGUGAAAGCCCGGGGCUCAACCUCGGAAUUGCAUCCGAUACUGCCGUGCUAGAGUACUGAAGAGGUGACUAGAAUUCUCGGUGUAGCAGUGAAAUGCGUAGAUAUCGAGAGGAAUACCAACGGCGAAGGCAGGUCACUGGGCAGUUACUGACACUGAGGCACGAAGGCCAGGGGAGCAAACGGG
rnacentral:rRNA from 1 species